UAAUACGGAGGGUGCGAGCGUUGUCCGGAAUCACUGGGCGUAAAGGGCGCGUAGGUGGCGCGAGUAGUCAACGGUGAAAGCCCGGGGCUCAACCCCGGGUCGGCCGUCGAUACUCUCGUGCUUGAGCACUGUAGAGGCAGGUGGAAUUCCGGGUGUAGCGGUGGAAGGCGUAGAGAUCCGGAA
rnacentral:rRNA from 1 species